AGUGAACGCUGGCGGUAGGCCUAACACAUGCAAGUCGAACGGCAGCACAGUAAGAGCUUGCUCUUACGGGUGGCGAGUGGCGGACGGGUGAGGAAUACAUCGGAAUCUACUUUUUCGUGGGGGAUAACGUAGGGAAACUUACGCUAAUACCGCAUACGACCUACGGGUGAAAGCAGGGGAUCUUCGGACCUUGCGCGAUUGAAUGAGCCGAUGUCGGAUUAGCUAGUUGGCGGGGUAAAGGCCCACCAAGGCGACGAUCCGUAGCUGGUCUGAGGGGAUGAUCAGCCAACCUGGACAUGAGACACGGCCCAAACUCUACGGGAGGCAGCAGUGGGGAAUAUUGGACAAUGGGCGCAAGCCUGAUCCAGCCAUACCGCGUGGGUGAAGAAGGCCUUCGGGUUGUAAAGCCCUUUUGUUGGGAAAGAAAAGCAGCAGGUUAAUACCCCGCUGUUCUGACGGUACCCAAAGAAUAAGCACCGGCUAACUUCGUG
rnacentral:rRNA from 1 species